AGGGGUUCUGAGAGGAAGGUCCCCCACACUGGUACUGAGACACGGACCAGACUCCUACGGGAGGCAGCAGCAGGAAUAUUGGUCAAUGGACGCAAGUCUGAACCAGCCAUGUCGCGUGAAGGAAGACGGUUCUAUGGAUUGUAAACUUCUUUUAUACGGGAAGAAACGUAUCUACGUGUAGAUAUUUGCCGGUACCGUAUGAAUAAGCACCGGCUAACUCCGUGCCAGCAGCCGCGGUAAUACGGAGGGUGCGAGCGUUAUCCGGAUUUAUUGGGUUUAAAGGGUGCGUAGGCGGAAUAAUAAGUCAGUGGUGAAAUCUUGCAGCUUAACUGUAAAACUGCCAUUGAUACUGUUAUUCUUGAAUUUAGUUGAGGUAGGCGGAAUGUGUUGUGUAGCGGUGAAAUGCAUAGAUAUAACACAGAACACCGAUUGCGAAGGCAGCUUACUAAGCUAUAAUUGACGCUGAUGCACGAAAGCGUGGGUAGCGAACAGGAUUAGAUACCCUGGUAGUCCACGCCGUAAACGAUGAUUACUCGUUGUUGGCAAUACAUCGUCAGCGACUGAGCGAAAGCAUUAAGUAAUCCACCUGGGGAGUACGUUGGCAACAAUGAAACUCAAAGGAAUUGACGGGGGCCCGCACAAGCGGAGGAACAUGUGGUUUAAUUCGAUGAUACGCGAGGAACCUUACCUGGACUUAAAUGUAGAUUGACAGGCUUAGAGAUAGGCUUUUCUUCGGACAAUUUACAAGGUGCUGCAUGGCUGUCGUCAGCUCGUGCCGUGAGGUGUCGGGUUAAGUCCCAUAACGAGCGCAACCCCUAUCUUUAGUUACCAGCAUGUAGUGGUGGGGACUCUAAAGAGACUGCCGGUGUAAACCGUGAGGAAGGUGGGGAUGACGUCAAAUCAGCACGGCCCUUACGUCCAGGGCUACACACGUGUUACAAUGGUCGGUACAAAGGGCAGCUACCUAGCGAUAGGAUGCUAAUCUCUAAAACCGAUCUCAGUUCGGAUCGGAGUCUGCAACUCGACUCCGUGAAGCUGGAUUCGCUAGUAGUCGCAUAUCAGCCAUGAUGCGGUGAAUACGUUCCCGGGCCUUGUACACACCGCCCGUCAAACCAUGGAAGUUGGGGGUACCUGAAGUCUGUUACCGUAAGGAGCGGCCUAGGGUAAAACUAAUAACUAGGGUUAAGUCGGAACAAGGUA
rnacentral:rRNA from 1 species